rnacentral:rRNA from 1 species
GCCAGACUCCUACGGGAGGCAGCAGUGAGGAAUAUUGGUCAAUGGGCGCGAGCCUGAACCAGCCAAGUCGCGUGAGGGAUGACGGUCCUACGGAUUGUAAACCUCUUUUGCCGGGGAGCAAGGGCGGGGACGUGUCCCGGCCCGGAGAGUACCCGGAGAAAAAGCAUCGGCUAACUCCGUGCCAGCAGCCGCGGUAAUACGGAGGAUGCGAGCGUUAUCCGGAUUUAUUGGGUUUAAAGGGUGCGUAGGCGGGCUUUUAAGUCAGCGGUAAAAAGUCGGGGCUCAACCCCGUCCGGCCGUUGAAACUGCCGGGCUAGAGUGGGCGAGAAGUGCGCGGAAUGCGUGGUGUAGCGGUGAAAUGCAUAGAUAUCACGCAGAACUCCGAUUGCGAAGGCAGCGCACCGGCGCCCUACUGACGCUCAGGCACGAAAGCGUGGGUAUCGAACAGGAUUAGAUACCCCAGUA